GAUGACAAUAAAAUCCAGAAAUGUGUAUGUCGCUCAUAUGCAAAUCAGUGGAAGAGUAUUUUGUGUGAAUAAACAACAACUCAGAGAUUAAUCUGGCCAUGAACUUGAUGGUGCAGUGAAAGCAAUGUGUGUUCACCUUCCAAAUAUAACCAGGGGCUGGAGGAGGCUCUGGAGGAUAUGGACAGUCAAAGCCAAGAGGCUGCUUGUGCCAGGUGACAGAGGAUACCUGUGUGGUCUUUCAUGUCCAUCAAGGAGUAAGCUUGUUGAACAAUCUGAAUGCAAGGCAGCUCAGAUUAGAAAUGCUGAAUUAUCCAGGAGGAUUUAGCCUUUUCAGCAAGGAGGAGCCUUUUCAGCACAACACCAGGCUGGUAUCUUCAGCUGAGUUCAUUCAUGAGCUGUGUUUGUGUGCAGGACUCCUCUGUUAUCAUAGAACUUUAAAUUCUGUUAAACUUUUCUGUGCCCAAACAGAAAAUCUGUGUAAUCUCA
rnacentral:lncRNA from 1 species